UAAUGGUCCACCGCCAGGAUGGCAAUUGACCCCUCAACUACUGCCUCUACAGACAUCUACACCACCAUCAGGGAUACAAGGAGCGCCUCUUGCUGACGUUGAAAUGGCGAGCAACCAGGACUGUGAUGUUGAAAAGGAAGGACAUCCACUGGGAUCGCCUACACCACCACUGCAGUCGUCAUCACCGGUUGCUUCUUCUGAAAUGGAUAUGGGUCGCAAACAAGAAGGCACAAAGAAUGAGGAGGAAAGGCCCCCAAGUGAAAAGCAACCAAUGUCGCAUUUAGUACAGAUGAAACCUAUAGUACCUCAAGCCUCAUCACAUGCUGCAACAGUUUCUUCCGAACUGGGUCAGAUGGUAUGUGGUGGUUGCCAACAGUUACUUUCUUAUUCACAAGGGGCUAAAUUGGUGAAGUGUUCAUGCUGCCAGACCGUCAAUCUUGUGCUAGAAGCUCAUGAGGUUGGACAAGUUAAGUGUGGGGGUUGUGCAGUGCUGCUCAUGUAUCCGUAUGGGGCGCCAUCAGUUAGAUGUUCAUCUUGUCGUCACAUGACAAAAAUUUGGGCCCACAACAGACGACCUCCUCAGUCAGUGCAACAGCCUCGAAGAAGACAUCCUUCCUACCAAGUUCAUUAGCUUGCUUAUCUCGAUCUGAUUUUGGGGAAUCCAUCAUGUAGAUGCAUUGUUUAUAUGAAACUUCUGGGCUAGUUAGUUGACAUCAGGUUACUGCUUGCUUCAUGGCUUUGGCAUUUCCCUUGGAUUUGUAAAAUCUUUACCGUAUCAGAAAUCUG
rnacentral:misc_RNA from 1 species